rnacentral:rRNA from 1 species
UACGUAGGGUGCGAGCGUUAAUCGGAAUUACUGGGCGUAAAGCGUGCGCAGGCGGUUCGUUGUGUCGGCGGUGAAAGCCCCGGGCUUAACCUGGGAAGUGGCCGUUGAAACUGGCGAACUGGAGUGUGGCAGAGGGGGGUGGAAUUCCGCGUGUAGCAGUGAAAUGCGUAGAGAUGCGGAGGAACACCGAUGGCGAAGGCAGCCCCCUGGGCUAACACUGACGCUCAGGCACGAAAGCGUGGGGAGCAAACAGG